rnacentral:rRNA from 1 species
CUACGGGGAGGGCAAGCGUUGUUCGGAUUUACUGGGCGUAAAGGGCGCGUAGGCGGUGUGACAAGUCACUUGUGAAAUCUCCGGGCUUAACUCGGAACGGUCAAGUGAUACUGUCGGACUAGAGUACAGAAGGGGCAACUGGAAUUCUCGGUGUAGCGGUGAAAUGCGUAGAUAUCGAGAGGAACACCUGCGGCGAAGGCGGGUUGCUGGGCUGAUACUGACGCUGAACGUCGCGAAAGCCAGGUAGG